CCUACGGGAGGCUGCAGUGAGGAAUAUUGGUCAAUGGACGAGAGUCUGAACCAGCCAAGUAGCGUGAAGGAUGACUGCCCUAUGGGUUGUAAACUUCUUUUAUAUGGGAAUAAAAUGUUCCACGUGUGGGAUUUUGUAUGUACCAUAUGAAUAAGGAUCGGCUAACUCCGUGCCAGCCACCGCGGUAAUACGGAGGAUCCGAGCGUUAUCCGGAUUUAUUGGGGUUAAAGGGAGCGUAGGUGGAUUGUUAAGUCAGUUGUGAAAGUGUGCGGCUCAACCGUAAAAUUGCAGUUGAAACUGGCAGUCUUGAGUACAGUAGAGGUGGGCGGAAUUCGUGGUGUAGCGGUGAAAUGCUUAGAUAUCACGAAGAACUCCGAUUGCGAAGGCAGCUCACUGGACUGCAACUGACACUGAGGCUCGAAAGUGUGGGUAUCAAACAGGAUUAGAUACCCUUGUAGUC
rnacentral:rRNA from 1 species